AGGCAAAAGUGGGCAGAGCAAUGGGCGUAAAUUUAACCUUUACACAAGGUUAAAUUUAUGCCCAUUGCUCUGCCCACAUUUGCCU
rnacentral:miRNA from 1 species